GAAUCAGCACUGAUCUACAAACUGAUCCACAACAGGACACGAGGGUCUGUAUCUACAAACACUGAGAGAAGAUCACAGAACAAAGCCAAUGGUGAUUAUGAAGAUCCUCUUGAAAAACAGAACAUCAGCAUGGGUCCAGUCUACCAGAGCCUGAACCCCAACACCAACCA